AUUGAACGCUGGCGGAAUGCUUAACACAUGCAAGUCGAACGCCCCGCAAGGGGAGUGGCAGACGGGUGAGUAACGCGUGGGAAUCUACCCAGAUCUUCGGAACAACACAGGGAAACUUGUGCUAAUACCGGAUACGCCCUACGGGGGAAAGAUUUAUCGGAUUUGGAUGAGCCCGCGUUGGAUUAGCUAGUUGGUGAGGUAAUGGCUCACCAAGGCGACGAUCCAUAGCUGGUCUGAGCGGAUGAUCAGCCACACUGGGACUGAGACACGGCCCAGACUCCUACGGGAGGCAGCAGUGGGGAAUAUUGGACAAUGGGCGAAAGCCUGAUCCAGCCAUGCCGCGUGAGUGAUGAAGGCCUUAGGGUUGUAAAGCUCUUUUAGUGGGGAAGAUAAUGACGGUACCCACAGAAAAAGCCCCGGCUAACUUCGUGCCAGCAGCCGCCGUAA
rnacentral:rRNA from 1 species